ACUGGUGGGAGUUUCUUAUGCUAAUGAGAGGCAAGGGUAACUAGAGGUUGCCUUUGGCACCAUCUGCUGGUUUCUUUACUUCAUCCUGGGACCAGGAAGUAAGUCCUGCUGGUCUCCUACGUCACCUCCGCAGGCAUAGGCAUGGAAGCUGUCAGCACGCUAGUAGGAGCCCACAUCUAGGGGAAGCUGGGGAUCCACUUCCACAGCAGCAUAAACUAGGGCUCCGUGGAGUUCAAUGGCUCAUGGGACAAUGGUUCCCUUGAUGGCAACAGCAGCUUCCUGCUCACCAACUCUCUGGAGAACACAUGGAGGGCAUAUGUGAUGGCUGCCAUGGUCCUGGGCACGCUGUACUGCAUCUCCUGCUUGGUGCUGGCUCUGGGGAUGAAGGAACAGUUAGAGAUGGGAACUUCUCAUUUGCUCCCCACAAAACAGCCAGAGCAUGGAACAUAUGAAGUAAAGAAUAAUAUUUAUUGAAUGAAGAAAGGAACUUAACCCUGCAGGCCUAGGUGGGAGCUUCCAGUGCCUCUUGUCAUCAUGCUGGUAUGUCCAGGAAGUGGGAGGUGGCACCAAUGUGUAGCCACCCUGCCUGAGCCCACCAGCCUUGGAGUCAGAACACCCUGGGGUAAAUCCUGGCUCAGCUCUUCUCAGCUGUGUGAUCUUGGUGAGUGGCUUUGCUUCUCAGGGCUUCAGGCUCCUCCUCUAAUUCCCACCGCACAGUGCUGUGGUGAGCCUGAGCAAGAUCAGCAUGUCAGUGUCUGGCACAGAACGGGCAUGCAAGAAGCAUUGGUUCUCUUAGCUCCCAGGGUCAUCUGGAAAAACCAAUUGGUUUCUUACCACCAAGAGGCAGUGCUUUUUCGCAGUAAGAAACCAAUUUCAAAGUCCAGAGAGUUGAGUUCAAAUCCUGACUCUCCACUUACCAGCAGUGAUUCUACAGAUGUUAUUUCACCUCUUGGAGCCUCAGUUUACCCAUCUGUAGAAUGAGGAAGAUACACUUAUCACAAGGGGCUAUGGUGAGGAAUAAGUGGGGUCUCGAGAGUACCUGUCAUGCAGUUGGUGCCCAGAAUUGCUGGCCCCUUCACAAAGGCCCCUGGUCAACUGGGCAAGCCACAUGCCUGCAUUUGUCUCUCAGGAGGGAUAUUAAUCAUUUAUUCAACAAACAUAUCCUGAGCUCCUACUAGGUGCCAGGCACUAUUCAGCAGUGAGUAAGACAUAAAUUGCUCUGCCCUCAUGGGUUUCACAUUCUGGUGUAAGUACAGGAAAAAAAUAAUAAAUGAAAGUAUGAUGUGCAUUGGAAGGGAGGAGGCACAGAGUACCAUGGGAAAGGUCAUAACAGAGGCCUUCACCUGGCCCCGGCUGUCAGGGAAACGUCCUGGAGGAGGUGAUGUUUUAACUGAAGUGGGAAGGAUGAGUUGGAGGUACCCAGGUGAAAAUGGGAAGAAGGAGGCAUGUCUGGGCAGAGAAGACAGCAUCAACAAAGGCCUUGAGAGAAGACCAUGAGGAGAGUUAGAAGAACUACUAAAAUCCAACAGGCUGAAUAAAGAAAGUUGUGGAGAGAUGGGGGCUAGAUCCAGGGCUGGGAGGUCAGGAGCGGCCAGACGCUACAGGAUCUCCUGAACAUGGUGCAGAAUCUGGACUUAGUCCUGAGGCAACGGGGAGCCCCUCUACUUCGAGGAAUUACACUCUAAGCCCCUACUGUGUGCCUAGCCAGUGAGGAGACAACUACUACUCACUUUAGCAAAAGGCUGUGAUUAGGCAGGAAAUAUGGGUCUUAGAACCCUGCUGAGAAGGUCAGGCUGGCUUCCUGGAAGAAGUGCUGUCUGACCAGGGACUUAAAGAGUGAGCAUGAGUCACCCAAACUGAGGUCCUCCAGGCUGAGGGAACAGCAUUUGCGCAGGCCUCGUGUCAAGAGGGAAUGCAAUGAGUCAGGGGAGCUGCAGGACAGGACUGAGCAUGAGUCAGAGAGGCCAGAUCAAAGUAUCUCCUAUGCCAGGGAAAAGAAUGCUGGCUUUUGAGGGCAGUGGGGGACCAUAGAAGGCUCUACAGGGAGGUGCAUGGUCAGGGUGAGUUUGUAGAAGAUCAUCUCAGCUACAGAAUGGCAAAUGGAUUAGAUGUUGCAGAGUGAAGCCAGGAAACCAUGAGGAGACUGGGCCAGAGACAUGGGGAUACUCUCAAUUCCUUGGCAAGUCCUGGUGGCUCCAGCUUCAACACUGAUCAGAAUCUAACCCUUCCUCCCACCUCCAUUGCCCUGUCUCAUGCAAAUAUUUCCAUUCAAUAUAUUUCUAGAAGCAGAUUUACUGGAUCAGAAAGUAGGCAGAUGUAUUUUGCUUCUUUUUUAAUUAAAAUAUUUAUUGAAAUAACUACAGACUCCAAGAAAUAAUACAGACACAUCCCAUAUAUGCCCUUUACCUAGUUUCCCCCAAUGAUAACAUUUUGCAAAACUGUAGUAUAAUAUCAUGACCAGGAUAUUUUCAUUGAUAGAAUCCACCCAUCUUAUUCAGAUUUUCCCACUUUUACAUGUACUCGUGUGUGUUGGGUGUGUAUUUAGUUCUAUGCAAAUUUUAUCACAGGCAUAGGUGUGUGUAUUUACCACCGUAAUCAUGAUAGACACCUUCAUCAUCACAAAUAUAUCACAGACUUUAUCCUUUUAUAAGCAUCCCGUUUUCUUC